AGCCCUGUCGUCUAGUUGGUCAAAUUAAUGACUAAGGACACGAGGUUCUGGUCCUCGAAACUCCAGUUCGAAUCUGGGCGGGGCUA
rnacentral:tRNA from 1 species